CGUGCCUGGGUCUACGUGUAAGAGUAUCCACCCCUUCUGUGCCGCAGCCAACGCAUUACCCUCCCCGCCUGGGGAGUACGGCCGCAAGGUUGAAACUCUAAGGAAUUGACGGGGGCCCGCACAAGCGGUGGAGUAUGUGGUUUAAUUCCACGCUACCCGAAGAACCUUACCGGGGCUUGACAUCCCGUGCUAUCUGUUGAAAGACAGAGUUCCCAUUUGGGACGCGGAGACAGGUGGUGCAUGGCUGUCGUCAGCUCGUGUCGUGAGAUGUUGGGUUAAGUCCCGCAACGAGCGCAACCCUUGUCCUUAGUUGCCAGCACGUUAAGGUGGGCACUCUAGGGAUACUGCCGGUGACAAACCGGAGGAAGGUGGGGAUGACGUCAAGUCAUCAUGCCCCUUAUGUUCCGGGCCACACACGUACUACAAUGGUCUGUACAGAGGGUCGCGAAGCCGUGAGGUGGAGCCAAUCCCACAAAGCAGAUCUCAGUUCGGAUUGCAGGCUGAAACCCGCCUGCAUGAAGUUGGAAUCGCUAGUAAUCGCACGUCAGCAUACUGCGGUGAAUACGUUCCCGGGCCUUGUACACACCGCCCGUCACACCACCAAAGCUGGCAACACCCCGAAGCCGGUGACUCAACUCCCAAGAGAGAGAGCCGUCCAAGGUGGGGUUAGUGAUUGGGGUGAAGUCCUAACAA
rnacentral:rRNA from 1 species